AGGAGUCUCGCACCAUACUCUCUUCCUCUCCAUCUCAUUGUCUCUCUAACCCUAAUUGCAUUAACCCUAACCCGUUGUCAAUAGCUUCUUGCUCUUUUAAUAAUGGAACGAAGCCGCAAAAACCUACCCCUCUGUCAAAUAAAAGGAAGCCGCAGGAGCCCUACCCUUCUCUCAAAUGGAAUGAAGCUGCAUGAACCUACCCCUCUGGCAAUCACUUCAACAAUGGAGAAUUAGGUUUGCAAAUGGAGGGCAUUGCUAGUUAUCACUAGUUUUGAGAGAGAUGUGUGGACUACUGUCACUUCAAUAACAGAGGGUUACGUUUUGCAAAUGGAGAGCAUCUCUAGUUUUGAGAGAGGGGUGAACUACUGCCAUUUUAACAAUGGAGAGUUUAAGUUUUCAAAUGGAGGGCAUCUAUAAUUUUGAGAGAGAUGGGGUGGACCACCGCUCGAUGUUGCAGGUGGAAAUAGUGCCAGCGAACCUUCAAAGAUUUGCUUCAAUUUGGGUUGAGGUUCCUUUUUGUUCUGGGAAUAUUUGUGUUGUCAAUAUUUGCGUUCUGUCAAUAUUUGCUUGAAUUUGUGG
rnacentral:lncRNA from 1 species